UUAGAGGAAGUAAAAGUCGUAACAAGGUUUCCGUAGGUGAACCUGCGGAAGGAUCAUUAUCGAACGAAUGUAGAGUCGGUUGUCGCUGGCCCCUCUCUGCUGGGCAUGUGCACGCCUUCUCUUUCAUCCACACACACCUGUGCACUCGUGAAGACGGAAGUGCCCUCGGGCGUCCGUCUGCUCCACAUAAAACCAUAUCCAUAUAUAUAUUGAAUGUAAUCGAUGUAACACAUCUUUAGACUAAGUUUCAACAACGGAUCUCUUGGCUCUCGCAUCGAUGAAGAACGCAGCGAAAUGCGAUAAGUAAUGUGAAUUGCAGAAUUCAGUGAAUCAUCGAAUCUUUGAACGCACCUUGCGCUCCUUGGUAUUCCUUGGAGCAUGCCUGUUUGAGUAUCAUGAAAUCUUCAAGAUAGAUCUUUCGUUCGUUCGAUUGAUUUUAUUUUGGACUUGGAGGUCUUGCAGAUUCUCACAUCUGCUCCUCUCAAAUGCAUCAGCUGGAUCUCCGUGAGCUCGGUUCCACUCGGUGUGAUAAGUAAUUGCUCGCCGAGGACACUGUAAAAAGUGGGCCGGGUCCACAGAUGAACUGCUUUCCGACCGUCCGUUAGCUUGGACGAUUGAACUUUUAUGAUCUGAUCUCAAAUCAGGUAGGAAUACCCGCUGAACUUAAGCAUAUCAAUAAGCGGAGGAAAAGAAACUAACAAGGAUUCCCCUAGUAACGGCGAGUGAAGCGGGAAGAGCUCAAAUUUAAAAUCUGGCAGUGUAUUCUGUCCGAGUUGUAGUCUAGAGAAGCGUCAUCCGCGCUGGACCAUGUACAAGUCUCUUGGAACAGAGCGUCACAGAGGGUGAGAAUCCCGUCCUUGACAUGGACUCCCAGUGCAUUGCGUUGCGCUCUCGACGAGUCGAGUUGUUUGGGAAUGCAGCUCAAAACGGGUGGUAAAUUCCAUCUAAAGCUAAAUAUUGGCGAGAGACCGAUAGCGAACAAGUACCGUGAGGGAAAGAUGAAAAGCACUUUGGAGAGAGAGUUAAACAGUACGUGAAAUUGUUGAAAUGGAAACGCUUGAAGUCAGUCGCGUUCUCUGGGAUUCAGCCUCGCUUUUGCUUGGUGCAUUUCCUAGUCCACGGGCCAGCAUGGAUUUCGACCGUUGGAAAAGGGCUGGGGGAAUGUGGCACCUUCGGGUGUGUUAUAGCCCUCUGCCGGAUGCAUCGGUUGGGAUCGAGGACCUCAGUGCACGCUCCGG
rnacentral:rRNA from 1 species